AUUGAACGCUGGCGGCAGGCUUAACACAUGCAAGUCGAGCGGGGUGAUGGUGCUUGCACUAUCACUUAGCGGCGGACGGGUGAGUAAUGCUUAGGAAUCUGCCUAUUAGUGGGGGACAACAUUUCGAAAGGAAUGCUAAUACCGCAUACGUCCUACGGGAGAAAGCAGGGGAUCUUCGGACCUUGCGCUAAUAGAUGAGCCUAAGUCGGAUUAGCUAGUUGGUGGGGUAAAGGCCUACCAAGGCGACGAUCUGUAGCGGGUCUGAGAGGAUGAUCCGCCACACUGGGACUGAGACACGGCCCAGACUCCUACGGGGGGCAGCAGUGGGGAAUAUUGGACAAUGGGCGGAAGCCUGAUCCAGCCAUGCCGCGUGUGUGAAGAAGGCCUUAUGGUUGUAAAGCACUUUAAGCGAGGAGGAGGCUACUUUAGUUAAUACCUAGAGAUAGUGGACGUUACUCGCAGAAUAAGCACCGGCUAACUCUGUGCCAGCAGCCGCCGUAA
rnacentral:rRNA from 1 species